AUGGUUAACACCAUGUUAGACACUUUGGGUCUAUCCAAGGAAUGGUGGGGGGAGGCGCUAAUGACUGCGUGUCAUGUCCUAAACCGAGUUCCCACAAAGCAUAAGGCCAUGACUCCAUUUGAGGAAUGGGAAAGGAAAAGGUUGAAACUCUCUUACCUACGUACUUGGGGUUGUUUGGCGAAAGUCAAUAUACCAAUUCCCAAGAAGCGCAAGCUUGGACCAAAAACCGUGGAUUGUGUUCUUCUGGGCUAUGCUUUUCAUAGCAUCGUCUAUAGAUUUUUGAUAAUAAAAUCUGAGGUAUCCGACAUGCAUGUUGGUACGAUUAUGGAAUCAAAUGAUGCAACUUUCUUUGAGGACAUAUUUCCUAUGAAGGAUAUGUCGAGUUCAUCAAAUCAGGAGAUACCUACUCCAUCUAGUGAGGAAUUCACUAUAAUUCCUAAACCCACCAUUGCGAUGGAACACGUUGAGAAUCCUGUUGAGGGUAACAAUGGAACUCCUGUGAGGAGUAAGAGACAGAGGACUGCAAAGUCUUUUGGUGAUGAUUUCAUUGUGUACCUCAUGGAUGACACACCCAGGAAUAUUUCAGAAGCCUAUGCAUCUCCUGAUGCUGACUACUGGAAGGAAGCUGUACGUAGUGAGAUGGAUUCCAUCUUAGCUAAUGGUACCUGGGAGAUCACUGACCGUCCUUAUGGGUGCAAACCUGUAGGAUGUAAGUGGGUGUUCAAGAAGAAGCUUAGACCUGAUGGUACGAUUGAAAAGUACAAGGCACGGCUUGUGGCCAAGGGUUAUACCCAGAAAGAAGGUGAAGACUUCUUUGAUACUUACUCACCCGUGGCUAGACUGACCACAAUUCGGGUGCUAAUAUCAAUGGCUGCCUCACAUGGCCUUCUCGUUCAUCAAAUGGACAUUAAGACGGCUUUCCUCAAUGGAGAGUUGAAGGAGGAAAUUUACAUGGAUCAGCCAGAUGGUUUUGUAGUACCUGGUCUGGAAGGAAAGGUGUGCAAGUUAUUAAAGUAUUUAUAUGGCCUUAAACAAGCUCCUAAGGAGUGGCCUGAGAAGUUCAAAAGAACAUUAACUGCUGUCGGCUUUGUAGUAAACUAUGGUGACAAGUGCGUGUACUAUCGCUAUGGUGGGGGCGAAGGAGUUAUUCUUUGUCUGUAUGUCGACGACAUAUUGAUCUUUGGAACCAAACUUGAUUUAAUCAAGGAGGUUAAGGAUUUCUUAUCUUGCUGUUUUGAGAUGAAGGAUCUAGGAGUAGCUGAUGUUAUCUUAAACAUCAAGCUGUUGAGAGAUGAGAAUGGUGGUGCCACGAGGCCUGACAUCUCUUUUGCUGUGAGCAAGCUGAGUCGGUUUGUGUCAAAACCGGGAGAUGAUCAUUGGCACGCGCUUGAGAGAGUUAUGCGCUAUUUGAAAGGCACCGCGAGCUAUGGGAUUCACUACACCGGGUAUCCAAGGGUACUGGAGGGUUAUAGUGACUCAAACUGGAUAUCUGAUGCCGAUGAGAUUAAGGCCACAAAACUCACAUCAUUAGACACUGCCACUGUUGAAGCAGAGUGGCUUCGUGAACUCUUGAUGGACUUACCUAUGGUUGAAAAACCAAUACCCCCUAUCCUGAUGAACUGUGAUAAUCAAACUGUGAUCGUCAAGAUAAACAGUUCUAAGGACAAUAUGAAGUCCUCAAGGCAUGUGAAGAGGAGACUAAAAUCUGUCAGAAAAUUGAGGAACUCCGGAGUUAUUACGUUGGAUUAUAUCGAAACGUCGAAAAACUUGGAAGAUCCCUUCACAAAGGGUCUAUCACGUAAUGUGAUAGAUAAUGCAUCGAUGGAGAUGGGUUUGAGACCCACC
rnacentral:rRNA from 1 species